GUAGGUGAACCUGCGGAAGGAUCAUUACCGAGAGCCAGGUCCUCUGGGCCUGAACCUCCCAACCCUUUGCUUACUACCUCUGUUGCUUUGGCAAGCCGGGGGCCUGUUCAAGGCUCUUGCCAGUAUCUCUCUGGUGCAUGCUUGCCGGAAGCCCCUUAGAACCCAGUUAAAAACGACGCAUUCAGGGAACGAUAAAUAGUUAAAACUUUCAACAACGGAUCUCUUGGUUCUG
rnacentral:misc_RNA from 1 species